GACGAACGCUGGCGGCGUGCCUAAUACAUGCAAGUGGAACGCAUUUUAAUCACCGUAGCUUGCUACACCGAAUAAAAUGAGUCGCGAACGGGUGAGUAACGCGUAGGUAACCUACCUUCUAGCGGGGGACAACUAUUGGAAACGAUAGCUAAUACCGCAUAAGACAUUAUAUCGCAUGAUAGGAUGUUAAAAGAUACAAUUGUAUCACUAGGAGAUGGACCUGCGUUGUAUUAGCUAGUUGGUGAGGUAACGGCUCACCAAGGCAGCGAUACAUAGCCGACCUGAGAGGGUGAUCGGCCACACUGGGACUGAGACACGGCCCAGACUCCUACGGGAGGCAGCAGUAGGGAAUCUUCGGCAAUGGGGGCAACCCUGACCGAGCAACGCCGCGUGAGUGAAGAAGGUUUUCGGAUCGUAAAGCUCUGUUGUAAGCGAAGAAGAGUGUUAGGAGUGGAAAAUCUAACACAUGACGGUAGCUUACCAGAAAGGGACGGCUAACUACGUGCCAGCAGCCGCGGUAAUACGUAGGUCUCGAGCGUUGUCCGGAUUUAUUGGGCGUAAAGCGAGCGCAGGCGGUUAGAUAAGUCAGAAGUUAAAGGCUGUGGCUCAACCAUAGUAUGCUUUUGAAACUGUUUAACUUGAGUGCAGAAGGGGAGAGUGGAAUUCCAUGUGUAGCGGUGAAAUGCGUAGAUAUAUGGAGGAACACCGGUGGCGAAAGCGGCUCUCUGGUCUGUGACUGACGCUGAGGCUCGAAAGCGUGGGUAGCGAACAGGAUUAGAUACCCUGGUAGUCCACGCCGUAAACGAUGAGUGCUAGGUGUUAGACCCUUUCCGGGGUUUAGCGCCGUAGCUAACGCAUUAAGCACUCCGCCUGGGGAGUACGACCGCAAGGUUGAAACUCAAAGGAAUUGACGGGGGCCCGCACAAGCGGUGGAGCAUGUGGUUUAAUUCGAAGCAACGCGAAGAACCUUACCAGGUCUUGACAUCCCUCUGACCGGUCUAGAGAUAGGCUUUCCCUUUUGGGCAGAGGAGACAGGUGGUGCAUGGUUGUCGUCAGCUCGUGUCGUGAGAUGUUGGGUUAAGUCCCGCAACGAGCGCAACCCUUAUUGUUAGUUGCCAUCAUUGAGUUGGGCACUCUAGCGAGACUGCCGGUAAUAAACCGGAGGAAGGUGGGGAUGACGUCAAAUCAUCAUGCCCCUUAUGACCUGGGCUACACACGUGCUACAAUGGUUGGUACAACGAGUCGCAAGCCGGUGACGGCAAGCUAAUCUCUUAAAGCCAAUCUCAGUUCGGAUUGUAGGCUGCAACUCGCCUACAUGAAGUCGGAAUCGCUAGUAAUCGCGGAUCAGCACGCCGCGGUGAAUACGUUCCCGGGCCU
rnacentral:rRNA from 1 species